rnacentral:rRNA from 2 species
CUCUUAACGGGGGAUCACUCGGCUCGUGCGUCGA